UACGUAGGUGGCAAGCGUUGUCCGGAAUUACUGGGCGUAAAGCGUGCGCAGGCGGUUCGUUAUGUCCGUUGUGAAAGCCCCGGGCUCAACCUGGGAAUGGCAAUGGAAACUGGCGGGCUAGAGUGUGGCAGAGGGGGGUGGAAUUCCGCGUGUAGCAGUGAAAUGCGUAGAGGUGCGGAGGAACACCGAUGGCGAAGGCAGCCCCCUGGGCUGACACUGACGCUCAGGCACGAAAGCGUGGGGAGCAAACAGG
rnacentral:rRNA from 1 species